GCAUUUCGAUUUGCUGCUCCCUGAUUGAUUGGUAUAUCUUCAUUGUCUUGGCCCGAGCAUGGCUCAGUUUUUCAUUUGUUUUGAUUAGAACACGAGAUAAAAAUCAGUGCACAGCUUGGACUCUUUCCCUAGCCCAAAUAAGUCCGAGAUGAUUGUUUGCAUCACUGCAUCUGCAACAGUACCAAGAAGUGCUUCGGAAGUGUUUGUGGAAUGACUUCAAACAAAAUAAUCAAACUUGUUCGUGGUGGCUUGCUGCAUAUGUAUUUAAGGUAAUAGUUGUUCCAGCUACUAUACUCUCUAUACGAUGGUGGACGCCCUGAUGCAGGAUGAGCACAAUUUUUACCACAAUACUAUGUGAAUCCUUCUCAUGUUUUUGCCUUUCCUACAGGUUUGAACCUUUUGGCAUUGGCGAAAAAAAAAAGGUUUGAACUUUUCGUAUUUUCUGAAAGAAUUUUAGUAAGUUGUUUCCUAUCGACAAUAUUCCCCAUAAAAUUGUUACACCAAUCCUUUUUCUGAUGAAGUGGAAGAAAGGCUCUUGAUAUUUCUCAGGUUAGUGCUGCCUUAUUAUUGCCAUGUUUUAGCACUAAUCCUUCAUCCUUUUUUGCAUGACUCAUUUCUCACAGUCAGAUUACUACUGUGACCACAACCUAAUCCUUUUAUUAGAACUCAUGUAUUGGUUAAUUUCUUUUGAGGUGCCUGGAUUUAACCUUCUAGCCACUUUGAAAAAGGAAGUUGAAGUAAAGUGGGAUUUUUAGGAGAGCAGAGUCAACAACUGCACUUUUCUGUGGUCCUUACAUAGGGAUAUGAACACGGAAGUUUUGGAGUGCUUUCCGAUAAGAUUUGAAUAUUUUUGGAGUGCUUCUAUAGAGUAUAGAGUUUCUGAUGACGACAAUCCAACGGCUCCUCGCCUCCCUCCCGAUCAAUUAAUCUCUAACAGAUAUCAAAGUAAAUGGAUAAUAUGGACUUCAGGCUCACUAUGGUUUGGCAUUUUGCAACACAUGGGAGGAGCAGGCUUACAUUGGUCCGAUUUAGAGAAAAAAAAAACAUGCAUGAUCUGAUGGAUGAUGUCGAGCGCUGCUAGGAAAUGACAAUUGUGCGACUGGUGAGACCAUGGAGAAGCUGUUCGAAUUGGCACAGUUGACACUUAUUUGAUAUACUAAGAUUUUGGUGUCAUUUAUAUGAUGGGGUUCUCAUGCUUAGUAUUUUGGAAUCUAUAUCCUAUUUAUUGUAUACUGUAAAGCUCAUGGAUAACGAAGUUAUGUCUGCGAUGAAUGGAGUUGAUGGGAGAGCAUAGCGAUGAAGCACCGGCAAAGCUGCCUUUGAUAUGUUAUUGUCAAAAGACGCGAAUAUUAUGGCUUUGAUAUCUUAUUGUCAAAAAGAUGCGGAUAUUAGGGUAGGACCUAAUAUCAAAUACUUAGAAGUGGUGAGGCUUCUAGCCCACCACCCUGUGGAGCUAGCCGGAAUACCCUGGGCACCGGCGUUUGUCAUAUACUUUCUCCGUUUCACAAUGUAAGUCAUUCUAGCAUU